GACGAACGCUGGCGGCGUGCUUAACACAUGCAAGUCGAGCGGUAAGGCCCUUUCGGGGGUACGACGAGCGGCGAACGGGUGAGUAACACGUGGGUGACCUGCCCUCCAGCUCUGGGAUAAGCCUGGGAAACGUGGGUCUAAUACUGGAUAUGACUCCACGGUGCAUGUCGUGGGGUGGAAAGCCUUGUGCGGCUGAGGAUGGGCCCGCGGCCUAUCAGCUUGUUGGUGGGGGUGANGG
rnacentral:rRNA from 1 species